GAUGAACGCUAGCUACAGGCUUAACACAUGCGAGUCGCGGGGCAGCAUGGGGGUUGCUUGCAAUCCCCGAUGGCGACCGGCGCACGGGUGAGUAACGCGUAUCCAACCUGCCCUUCACCACGGGAUAACCCGGCGAAAGUCGGACUAAUACCGUAUGUUGUCCAUUGACGGCAUCCGAUUUGGACGAAAGGUUUGGCGGUGAAGGAUGGGGAUGCGUCCGAUUAGCUGGACGGCGGGGUGACGGCCCACCGUGGCGACGAUCGGUAGGGGUGCUGAGAGGAAGGUCCCCCACACUGGAACUGAGACACGGUCCAGACUCCUACGGGAGGCAGCAGUGAGGAAUAUUGGUCAAUGGGCGUAAGCCUGAACCAGCCAAGUAGCGUGCAGGAGGACGGCCCUAUGGGUUGUAAACUGCUUUUAUGCGGGGAUAAAGUGGCCCACGUGUGGGUUUUUGCAGGUACCGCAUGAAUAAGGACCGGCUAAUUCCGUG
rnacentral:rRNA from 1 species